GCCCGGGUGGUGGAAUUGGUAGACACGCAGGACUUAAAAUCCUGUUCGCCGAAAAAGCGAGUGCGGGUUCAAGUCCCGCCCCGGGCACCA
rnacentral:tRNA from 1 species